AUCCCCCGGUGGGUGGCGAAGGGUGAGUAAGACAUGGGAAUCUGUCCCGGAGAUGGGGAUAUCCUCCGAAAGGAGGGUUAAUACCGAAUACCGUCCGGUGGACGAGAGUCCAUCGGGAAAGGGAGGCCUCUGGCACAUGCUUCCGCUCCGGGAGGAGCCCAUGGCCAUCAGCUAGUUGGGAGGGUAACGGCCUACCAAGGCGAAGCGGGUAGCUGGUCUGAGAGGACGAUCAGCACACUGGCACUGAGACACGGGCCAGACUCCUACGGGAGGCAGCAGUGAGGAAUUUUGCGCAAUGGGGGCAACCCUGACGCAGCAACGCCGCGUGUGGGAAGAAGGCUUUCGGGUUGUAAACCACUUUUGUAAGGGACGAAGUCCCUUCGGCAAAUAACCGAGGGGGAUGACGGUACCUUGCGAAUAAGCCACGGCUAACUCUGUGCCAGCAGCCGCGGUAAGACAGGGGUGGCAAGCGUUGUUCGGAGUAACUGGGCGUAAAGGGUCUGUAGGUGGUUUUUCAAGUCUUUGGUAAAACGCCGUGGCUCAACCAUGGUUUGCCAAGGAGACUGGGAGACUCGAGGCUGGGAGAGGGAAGGGAAUUUCUGGUGUAGCGGGAAAUGCGUAGAGAUCAGAAAGAAGGCCGGUGGCGAAGGCGGCUUCCUGGAACAGACCUGACACUGAGAGACGAAAGCGUGGGGAGCAAACAGGAUUAGAUACCCUGGUAGUCCACGCCCUAAACGAUGGGAACUAAGUGUGGGGAGCAAUCCCCGUGCCGCAGCUAACGCAAUAAGUUCCCCGCCUGGGGAGUACGGCCGCAAGGUUGAAACUCAAAGGAAUUGACGGGGGCCCGCACAAGCGGUGGUGCAUGUGGUUUAAUUCGACGCAACGCGAGGAACCUUACCUGGGUUUGACAUGGCGCUGGUAGUGAACCGAAAGGGGAACGACCCCGCAAGGGGAGGCGUCACAGGUGCUGCAUGGCUGUCGUCAGCUCGUGCCGUGAGGUGUUGGGUUAAUCCCGCAACAGCGCAACCCCCGCCCUUUGUUGCUACCGGGUAAAGCCGGGCACUCGAGGGGACUGCCAGCGAAGAGUUGGAGGAGGUGGGGAUGACGUCAAGUCAUCAUGGCCUUUAUAUCCAGGGCGACACACGUGCAACAAUGGCCGGUACAGACGGAGGCGAGCCCGUAAGGGGGAGCAAAUCCGAGAAAGCCGGUCUCAGUUCGGAUUGAGGUCUGCAACUCGACCUCAUGAAGUCGGAAUCGCUAGUAAUGCGUAUCAGAACGACGCGGGAAUACGUCCCACCGCCCGUCACACCACGAAAGUCUGUUGUACC
rnacentral:rRNA from 1 species